rnacentral:rRNA from 1 species
AUGUUUCGAAAACAUAGCCCAGUCAUUGCAAACACCAAAUCCCAACACCAUUGCGGUCACAAUCUCGUCGCUGUUGCAGCCAUCCGCGCAAACACCACCACUGUUUCAGUCGUCGCCACGCAAAAAUACCACUGUGGUCGCACUCACAAGACCACCCCUUUACAGUCGCAACACCACUACCAUUGCAGUCACAACCCCGUCACCGUUGCAGUCGCAACACCACCAUGCAGACUCGUUGGAGGGCGCGGCAGCACAGCCUGCACACGAUGGCAGGAAGUUGUGGUGCAACACCGACAUACCUCGACGAUAGUGUUGGUCGAUGUUUUCAUGGUCCCCUGCUUGUUCAAUGAGGGCAUCAGCCGUGGUGGUGUCUAG